UUUUUAUUUUUUCCCCAUAACAUUAUCCUACAGAGCACCCUGCAAUUACCUACCCCAAAGGUGGUAAAGAUUAAGGCAUUCCUCAUAGAUGGCAUUUGUAACAACAGACACUAAUGGAAGAAAAGUGCCGUAUGGUCCUCAGUCCUGUGCCUUACAAGGACUCCCGAGAGCCUGGGAGAAGCUAACUUGGGGCAAACAAUUACGUCCAAAAUUUUUCAUAUGUUUGGCACAGUAAGUUACAUACUGAUACCAAAACCACAUUCUGCUGAGAUAUUUAGAACUGUUAAUUCUGGGGACUGUAUUUCAAGAAAAUUGAUAAGCUGGAGAGUAUACCAAGUCGGGUAAGGGGCCUUGACCUGCCCUAUCAGUUGCAGGAUUGGUGGAAGUAUGAUGGCAAGGACAUUGGAGCUAACCAUGACUUGUCGGCUUACUGCUUGUGGGAUCCUGGGAAAGCCUUUUAUCUUCAGUGUUUUGUUUAUCUGUAAAAUGAGGUGGUUGGACUGAAUGACAUCUAAGUUGCAGCACAUCCCAGGACGUAAGGAAGGCCUUCGGUUAACCAUCAAAGAGCUACCAAAAAGUGAAAUGGGCUGCCUCAAGAGCCUCCUCACCAGAGGUUUUCGAGCAAACGUCGUUUGGGCUACACCAUAAGGGCCGGCAGUGUCCGCAGGAGCCGUCUAGUUUACAGAUGAAGAGGGUGACUCCGAGAGAAGGGGGGUGGUCCUCGCCGGCAUUAUCUGCCGUCGGCUCUCAGCUCUGCCCGGCUAACAAAGUCAGUUUGGACCAAGAUCCAAAGGGGGGAGGGGUCAUCCGAGCGCCCCAAGCGUCUGCACGCUGCCGAACGGGCAGCGGGAGGCGUCCUUCCUUGCCGCGGGUGCCCGCGAACAGACGCGGAGCCCACUCCGGGCGAGAAGGGCAGGAAAUGCAGAUAAGCCGACAAGGCCUCUGAACAAACUUGGGGCUGGUCUCCCCCGGCGGA